UCUAACCGGCGGUCUUUGAGAACAGACGCGACACUUUUGCAUUUAAACCGAGCUUGAGACGGUCUAAAUAGCCUCUUCCAUUUGAAAGGGAGAACAAGAAGUCAAAAACUCUCGCACUCCCUCCUACUUUGCGCGUUCGAUGAGUUUUUCUGGCAAAACUUUUUUAGAAAUCGAUUGAGAAAAGCUUUUGAAGGUUAGGAAGAUGGAAUACAGAGUGGUUGCAUAUUUGUCAAUGGAAAUUCUAGCAUCUAGUUUUGCAGAAAUUACAGGGAGCAAUGAAGGACAUUAGAGACAACCUAGAAACCUCUGAAGAAGGUGGAGAGGCUUCUGAUUCCUUAACUCUACAUCUCAGAGGCUUGACUAUGAAGCUGCAGACAUAGAGAGGCAGGCUAGAAAGAACAGGCACUUGAUAGACAGGGGUAUGUAACAACAACGGUAGCUAUUCCAAUAAACCUGAUUGCUGUCAUUGCAUUGUCAGUAUCCAGAUUUCUGAAGUUGCGCCAUUCAUUUCACCUGCUUAUUAUAGCAUGUUGGAUAUUAACAGGACGAGUCCUGUGUUAAUUGGUUGGCCUUUGGGAUGUAUUUCUUUCUAGAAAGGUUCACUAGAGACACAUGCACUAUCCUUGAUUCUUGAAUAUUUCCAACAAGACCCAAGCAAUUAGCAGCUUGAGCUCAACCCUCCCAUGUGAUGAACUACUUCCAGCAAAAUCAGUCUUAUCUGAUGUCAGUGAAGGAAUCUAUGAUCUUGCGAAUCAGGUCACCAGUAUUGAAUCUUUCCAGAUAGGCUUCCCAACAAAAACACCCAACCCUAGGAGGGAUUGAUAAUCAGGAUACAUGAACAUUACAUUCAACCAAAGAGAGGAAGUCUUAUCUCUCUUGGUUUUGGUUCUAUAGUGCAUACUCUAUGUUGGGCCAUAUCAAUGGCUGCUACACGAAAGGGUUUAGCAUGAGCUUGAAAUAUGCAAUCAACAUAUGGUUGAUCAUUAUGUUAAGUGGGUUUGCAUUGGAAGAUGUGCUAUAUUAUUCGACAAAUUGAAUUUUUUUAAGUCCUUGUACUUUUUGUGUCAAUUGGAUAUUGUAUUUGAA